rnacentral:rRNA from 1 species
CACGUAGGGCGCAAGCGUUGUCCGGAAUUAUUGGGCGUAAAGAGCUACGUAGGCGGUCCGUCACGUCCGCGUGUGAAAACCCAGGGCUCAACCCUGGGCUUGCAGUGGAUACGGGCAGACUAGAGGUAGGUAGGGGAGAAUGGAAUUCCCGGUGUAGCGGUGAAAUGCGCAGAUAUCGGGAGGAACACCGGUGGCGAAGGCGGUUCUCUGGGCCUUACCUGACGCUGAGGAGCGAAAGCGUGGGGAGCGAACAGG